GCUAAAUGAAACCAUCCAACAAACAACAAUCUUGCUUUGUGAGAUUUUUUUUUUCUUUGAGUUUUAUCUGUUGAGAUUUUUAAAAAAAAAUUGCAACGGAAAAUGGCAGGAAAAAUGUGUAUGAUGAUGAUGGUGAUGAUGGUAUUGGUGAUCAUGAACUGUGGUCUAAAAACAUGUAAUGGAAUGGAUACUAACGUUCCCACACCAUCGUCUCUCGUAGGGGAGGAACCUCUAAUGCAACCACAAGACAAUGCUCAAUGCUACCAACGUUGUAGCAGACGAUGCGGCUCUGACGGAGAAUGCUUGGUAGCUUGUUUGAAGAAAUGUCCCUAAACCUCUGCUCUUUUUUAAUUUCUCAUACAAAAAAAAAAUGAUUCAUGUUUUCUGUAAAAUUAUGCGAUCAAGGCAUUAUUAAACAAAUAAAAAUCUGAUCUUUGAUAUAGAAGAAGAA